GCGGGAAUAGCUCAGUUGGUAGAGCACAACCUUGCCAAGGUUGGGGUCGCCAGGGGUUAAGAGAGUGAGUCUCGUUUCCCAUG
rnacentral:tRNA from 1 species